CUUAUAUAUUUUAAGAAGCAAUAUUGCGUUGAAGCUGCAAGGGUGGCGGUUGCCUAUAAGUAU
rnacentral:tRNA from 1 species